AUGGCAGAUCCAGUUAGCUUUAGUGCUGCUGUAGGAUGGGGCAUAACCGCUGUAGGUUGGCUCGCCUCACCCAUCAUUCCCAGGCUCCUCAACAAAGGUUUCGCGCUCCUGGACUUCAACGCAGCGGAGAAGCUGAAGAUAAUUGAUAUGCAAGUUUUGCAUCCACAGCGGGUGAUGGAAGUAGUCGACGGGAACACUUACAGGGCACGUUUGGAGCCACUGUUAGAUAAGCUUAGGUCUGCUCUCUACGAAGCCGAAGACAUCUUGGAUGAUGUUGAGUAUCAGCGUCUCAAGAAGCAGAUCCAAGAUGCCAAGUCAGAAGGCAGCAUCCUUCCACGUAAGAGGGAUUUAUUGAUGAAGAAUCUUCGGUCUGCCAUGCCGAGAUCCCUCCUAAAAGAUAAGGAGAGUGGUAUGUCAAAAGUGGAAUUGAAGAAGAGCCUAGAGAAGAUAGAAAGUGCUAUAAAUGAUGCAUGUGAAGUUUUGAAACAACUGAACUUGCCAGGUGGGCGUGAUGAUGAUGGGAGGCAAGCUGUUGCUACCAAUUCACGCCGUGCAGUCACUACUGCAGCUCCUCCGAUAGGAGUAAUUGGUCGGGAUAACGAUCGUGACAAGAUAAUCGCAAUGCUUCAUGAGAAGGAAGACCAUUGUCAAGCAAAUAAUGUCAGUGAUACAUGCUAUUCUGUAAUCGGCAUCCAUGGCAUGGCUGGGUCAGGGAAAUCAACACUUGCACAGUAUGUCUAUGAUCACGAGAAAAAGCGUAGGCAAGAGAAAAAGGAGGGCCAUUUCAAUAUUGUCAUAUGGAUUCAUGUUUCUCAGAAAUUUGAUUUGGAUUCCAUUUUUAGGGAGAUGUUUGAGGGGGCUACAGGGAAAGCAUGCGAUAAAUUCAAUAGUCCUAACGUCCUGAAGGAAAAACUGGAGGAUGAACUGCGUGGGAAACAGAUUUUACUGGUACUAGAUGAUGUCUGGUACAACAGUAGGAAUUCGGGAGACCGUGAAGAGCUACAAAAGUUAAUUUCUCCUCUGAAUGUUGGAAAGGAAGGAAGCAGAAUCUUGGUGACAAGUCGAACUGAAGCUGCACUAGUAUCUCUGGGUGCUGUAAAAGAGAGAUGUAUUCCAAUAUCUGACUUGGAUGAUGAAGUGUUUCUUGAAAUGUUCAUGCAUUAUGCACUUAGGGAUGCAAGGGUAAGUGACCAUGAUAAAAGAAUACUUGAAUUGAUUGGAGAGGACAUUGCAAAAAAGCUGAAGGGCUCACCUCUAGCAGCCAGAACAGUGGGUUCACGGCUUCGUGAAACACAAACUGUUGAGUUUUGGAGAAGCCAGAAAGAUUGGGACCUUAUGAAUGACAUGAUGGGAGCUCUAUGGUGGAGUUACCAGUGUCUUGAUGAGUAG
rnacentral:rRNA from 1 species